GAAUGUUACAGCUCUUUUAGAGUUCAUCUAGCAGGAAAAGCCCUCCCUC
rnacentral:snRNA from 1 species